GAACGGCAGCACGGGGCAACCCUGGUGGCGAGUGGCGAACGGGUGAGUAAUAUAUCGGAACGUACCCUGGAGUGGGGGAUAACGUAGCGAAAGUUACGCUAAUACCGCAUACGAUCUACGGAUGAAAGUGGGGGAUCCGCAAGGACCUCAUGCUCGUGGAGCGGCCGAUAUCUGAUUAGCUAGUUGGUAGGGUAAAAGCCUACCAAGGCAUCGAUCAGUAGCUGGUCUGAGAGGACGACCAGCCACACUGGAACUGAGACACGGUCCAGACUCCUACGGGAGGCAGCAGUGGGGAAUUUUGGACAAUGGGCGAAAGCCUGAUCCAGCAAUGCCGCGUGAGUGAAGAAGGCCUUCGGGUUGUAAAGCUCUUUUGUCAGGGAAGAAACGGUUGAUCCUAAUACGGUUGACUAAUGACGGUACCUGAAGAAUAAGCACCGGCUAACUACGUGCCAGCAGCCGCGGUAAUACGUAGGGUGCAAGCGUUAAUCGGAAUUACUGGGCGUAAAGCGUGCGCAGGCGGUUAUGUAAGACAGAUGUGAAAUGCCCGGGCUUAACCUGGGAACUGCAUUUGUGACUGCAUGGCUAGAGUUUGGCAGAGGGGGGUAGAAUUCCACGUGUAGCAGUGAAAUGCGUAGAUAUGUGGAGGAACACCGAUGGCGAAGGCAGCCCCCUGGGUCAAGACUGACGCUCAUGCACGAAAGCGUGGGGAGCAAACAGGAUUAGAUACCCUGGUAGUCCACGCCCUAAACGAUGUCUACUAGUUGUCGGGUCUUAAUUGACUUGGUAACGCAGCUAACGCGUGAAGUAGACCGCCUGGGGAGUACGGUCGCAAGAUUAAAACUCAAAGGAAUUGACGGGGACCCGCACAAGCGGUGGAUGAUGUGGAUUAAUUCGAUGCAACGCGAAAAACCUUACCUACCCUUGACAUGGCUGGAAUCCUUGAGAGAUUAGGGAGUGCCCGAAAGGGAACCAGUACACAGGUGCUGCAUGGCUGUCGUCAGCUCGUGUCGUGAGAUGUUGGGUUAAGUCCCGCAACGAGCGCAACCCUUGUCAUUAGUUGCUACGAAAGGGCACUCUAAUGAGACUGCCGGUGACAAACCGGAGGAAGGUGGGGAUGACGUCAAGUCCUCAUGGCCCUUAUGGGUAGGGCUUCACACGUCAUACAAUGGUACAUACAGAGGGCCGCCAACCCGCGAGGGGGAGCUAAUCCCAGAAAGUGUAUCGUAGUCCGGAUUGUAGUCUGCAACUCGACUACAUGAAGUUGGAAUCGCUAGUA
rnacentral:rRNA from 1 species